GGGACUGGGUGGAAGACAAGAAGGAGAGAAAGGAGCUAGAUGGUCACCGUCAAGACAAGGGCAAAGAGAAGGAUCUAGAAGAUGAUGAGCCAGAGUUGGAAGAGCAUGACCAUGCUUGUUGCCCUGUUUGCAGGAAGAACAUCCAGUACCUCUUCGACGCCAUCGACGACAUCAUGCCAACCAUGCAAGAGCUGGAUCACAAGGUGGAAUAGAAUGAUUGCCGCUAGGAGGACGACUUCAAGUUCUUACAAAGGAACAUGAGGAAGCUUUUCGGGAUGUGUGGCAACAUUAGGAAGAACAAAGCACAUGGAGAAGGAAGCAGCAACUGCCCCAUGUGCAAUCAAUGUCUGCA
rnacentral:lncRNA from 1 species